CCGGAAAGAUUAUAUUAAUUGAACCCUUAAAGCCUACAAUCUAAUUGUGGUUGACCAACAUCUCUUACAUAGUUAAUAAGCUUCCAAUUUUGAAAAACAUGAUCCAAAAAUAUCAGUAGUUUCUGCCAUCCAUCAAUGCCCGCUCAUGGAUAUAUGCCAACCACAAUUGUUUGGCUAGCUUGAAAAGCCAAAGAAUAAUCUUUUUAAGUCUCCCAAAAAAAAGAGUACAACAGUACAAAUGCAUGGACAGCUUCUUUCAUUUCAUGGAGAUGCACACAUGCGCAUAUAAGCAAACCACCAUGCCUUGUUCUGCAGAGUUUGAAAAGAGUAAAACAUACAUUUUCAGUGUUGCAAAUACAAAACCCCGGUUCGCUAUACCAUCCAUUUAAGUAAACCAGUUGGCUAUACCAUCCAUAUAAGUAAACCAGUUCGCUCUACCAUCAGAUGAUGAUACACCACAUAUCGUAAACAUAACUAUAAAGAAAUACACACUGCAUAAGUUCAGUGCAUAACAGAUCAUAAAAAUAUAAUCAAAAUCAUCGAAACCAUUCCAGAAGAAGACUGUAAGGUGAAACUCAAACAACAAACCAGUAACCAUAAUUCAGUCAGGUUCACCGUCCAUGAACUAUAAACAUUUCGCUUAAGAGUGCAUAAGAAACUCUUCACUGCGAAAUUGGCAUAUUCUAUUUAGCUGGCACGGCUCCUAAUGACAUCAAGGCCCAUUUCAGUUGGAUCGGUUGCCUGCAACUCUACCUGAAUACCAUCUAGUUCUCUCUUGAACCGAUCCUUAGAACUGGCAUAGAUCAUCUUACUUCUCACCCUUGAGGUGUCAGGAGACCAUGCAAUGAAGAAAAUUCUGCUCUUUUGGCAAUUCUCUUCAGUAACAAAGUCGAAAUCAUAAACAGCAUAUCGACACUCAUCAGCAGGGAGGCUUGCAGUAAAAUCUUCAUAGCUUUUGGUUGGCUCACCAAGCUUUUCCACAAUAACUUGCUUUUGCUUCUCCUCAAUCUUAAAAACUAUGAAGCGGUAAGUUCGUUUCGCCUUCAGCUCCAAAAACUUUAGCUUGCAAUCAUCAUGCACAGCCAUUCCAGAAGCUGCAUUGGCCUGCACAGAGAAAGAGAGAAGAUUUAGAGUAAGAGAAAUACUGUAUACAUUUUCCCAAAGGUCUGUACACUGUUAUUUGCUAAGUUCAUGCUCUCAUAAACUGUUAUGAUAAUUUAAAGGAAGGGUCAAAUUAAACAUUGUGGUUGUACAUGAUGACAUGCGAGUAUCAUGAAUCAUAUUCUGGGCUUAUCAUUUGUAAAACCCCAAUCAAAUAUUUUUGAACUGCACUUACAAAAGUCCUAACUUCUAAUCCACAUCUUUCUCAUAGCAAUACAUCAGGGAUUUCACAUUCAACUACAUAUCUAAACAUCUCACAGAAAUCCUGUACUCACAAAUUCAUGAACUGAAUGAACCAUGACAUCCCAUAUCUAUAAAAGUUGAACCAGGGACCUUGAAAAAUGGAUCUGCAUAUCAUCCAGAACCUCAAGGUGCAAACUAAUUAGGCCAUUGGGUCCCUAGGAAAGCUGAAUGCUCAAAAGGUAUUCAUAAAAAAUAUGAAAAAAUAAAAAAAGGUUGCAGCUUCAAAGUUUCUGGUAACAUAACCUACUUGUUAAUAAUACUAAGACAAGAACAAAUCCACAUUGUUCAAUUACAAAACCAGGAAUGAGCAAACAGAUAUUGAUUCAAACAGAGCUAAAAUUAAUAAUACUCGCUGACCAUUGGAUGUGUAAGAAUAACAAUACUUAAUCAUCAUUUGAUGAGUAAAAUCAAUCAACAAUGGAAUAAAUUCAACUUCACAAAUCACCUUAGCAACUACUUAUAUAAUAUAACCAUAACAAAUUACCAAUGCACACUAAUUUUCCAAUGUUGAACAAGAAUGCACAUCAUGAGGUAAAAACCAUUGGUCACAAGAUGAAAAUGGCGUGCCAAAUUAUUUCCAUCUCCGAAAAUUCCAAUAAGUUGGAGAGUAUUGUUGGAUCUGACAACCAAUAUAUAAUUACAAUAGACUAUUUCCAAACAACAACAGAUCCAUUAUCCAGAUCAACAAUUGAAGCACUUUCAAUUCAGGACAGAUGGAUAAAAUAUUUAUGAGUAUAAACUAUCGCCACAAACCCACCCCCACUUUUUCUCCAAACAUUCCAAAUGUGCUACUUAAGGCCACUCCAUCAGCAAACCUAGACUUUUGAUAUUUCAAUUUUCUCAACUUUAGGACUGCAAUUUUCAGCACCAAAACAAAUAAGAUCCGCCAAAAAGCCAAGCACAAAACCAAAGAUCAAGCCAUUUUCAUGUAAAAUAGCUUAAUCAACAUCAAAUUGAAAGAUCUGAAACUAAAUUAACAGCAAAAUGGGAUCUAAAUUGAAUAAAAUAACCACUGACAAUUACAAAUCAAAGAUCAAAAGCCAUCAAAAUGCGAACUUCAGAAGAUUAAAUUUGAGUAAAGAAAAGAGACUGACCAUGAUUACAGGAAUCGCAGAGCUACGAGAUAAAAAUAGCAAAGAGAAAUUGAAAUUUGAGGAUAUUAGGCUUCGAUUGAGAGAGAGAGAGAAAGAGAGA
rnacentral:misc_RNA from 1 species